rnacentral:rRNA from 1 species
GACGAACGCUGGCGGCGUGCUUAACACAUGCAAGUCGAACGAAGAGCGAUGGAAGCUUGCUUCUAUCAAUCUUAGUGGCGAACGGGUGAGUAACGCGUAAUCAACCUGCCCUUCAGAGGGGGACAACAGUUGGAAACGACUGCUAAUACCGCAUACGAUCUAAUCUCGGCAUCGAGGAUAGAUGAAAGGUGGCCUCUACACGUAAGCUAUCACUGAAGGAGGGGAUUGCGUCUGAUUAGCUAGUUGGAGGGGUAACGGCCCACCAAGGCGAUGAUCAGUAGCCGGUCUGAGAGGAUGAACGGCCACAUUGGGACUGAGACACGGCCCAGACUCCUACGGGAGGCAGCAGUGGGGAAUCUUCCGCAAUGGACGAAAGUCCGACGGAGCAACGCCGCGUGAGUGAUGACGGCCUUCGGGUUGUAAAGCUCUGUUAAUCGGGACGAAAGGCCUUCUUGCGAAUAGUGAGAAGGAUUGACGGUACCGGAAUAGAAAGCCACGGCUAACUACGUG